rnacentral:lncRNA from 1 species
AUGUGGCCCUAUGGGCAGCUACUCGAGCGUGGGCCGCCGCGAGGGGUUAGUCAUGGUACCCGCCGGAAACGACCCUGUUGCGAGGAGACCUUGCUUUUCGUUCAGAUGCUACCAUUAUUAAGUAAACUCUCAAAAAUCCGCCAGUCAGGAGAGGAGGUCUCAAUCUGUGCACGAGCGGAAGUGCCACGUCCUGUGAAGAGUGUCUCCUCAUCCAUCCAAAAUGUGCUUGGUGCUCCAAAGAGGACGUUGCCUUUGGAAGAUGGAAUGUAAAUGCAGCAUUUUUCAAAUAGCAUUCGGACCUCGUAGUGAGAAAACGCAGCUGAGAUUCACCCUGGCGGCCCAGCAGCCAGGCGCUGCCUCUGGGGACUCGCGAGCUCGCCCGGAGCAGGCUGGAGGUGAGGGACCGAGCGUGAGGAGGGUGUGCAGCCCCGCCACGGCACG